rnacentral:rRNA from 1 species
CACUCCUGCGGGAGGCAGCAGUGGGGAAUUUUGGACAAUGGGGGCAACCCUGAUCCAGCAAUGCCGCGUGAGUGAAGAAGGCCUUCGGGUUGUAAAGCUCUUUUGUCAGGGAAGAAACGGUGGUGGCGAAUAACUACUACUAAUGACGGUACCUGGAGAAUAAGCACCGGCUAACUACGUGCCAGCAGCCGCGGUAAUACGUAGGGUGCAAGCGUUAAUCGGAAUUACUGGGCGUAAAGCGUGCGCAGGCGGUUGUGUAAGUCAGAUGUGAAAUCCCCGGGCUCAACCUGGGAAUUGCAUUUGAGAGUGCACGGCUAGAGUGUGUCAGAGGGGGGUAGAAUUCCACGUGUAGCAGUGAAAUGCGUAGAUAUGUGGAGGAAUACCGAUGGCGAAGGCAGCCCCCUGGGAUAACACUGACGCUCAUGCACGAAAGCGUGGGGAGCAAACAGGAUUAGAUACCCUGGUAGUCCCAUGAU